UUCGCAGACUCUGCAGGCAAG
rnacentral:misc_RNA from 1 species